GAAUUAGAAGGUUGUGGAACCUUCGUGAGGUGGAGCCUUGCUGGAGGAGGCCAUCACUUGAAGUUUUAUAGCCCAUCCCAUUUCCUGUAAGGGCUCUGCUUCUGACUGCAGACAUGAUGUGACCAGCUGCCUCACACCUUCCCACAAUGAACUGUAUCCCUUCAAACGCACCAGCUUGCUCCCUGUUCAUUCCCUUCUUCUUCAUCUUGGACACUCUUCAAGAAAGAAAUGGCAAUACGUGCUGUAAAGACAAUUCACAUCCACAUUUAUUACAUCAUUAUCCAUAGGAGCCAAGGUCACAUGGGGAGAAUGCAAGAUGGAACCCAGGCCUUCCUGCUCUGCGUGCGCCUGCUCUCCUGAACUACAUUCCAAGUAUUCUCGUGGCAGAGUGGCUUUUGCUGCAGAUGACAUCACCAGUGAACUCGAACCAACUACCCAGACACAUCAUCAUAAUCUGGAGUCCACCCUUCACACCAGAGCCUUCUAGUGCUGUUGUUCAUUCUACAGAGGAGUUAUUAAUGCCACAGACAGAGUGUGACGGGAUCUCUGAGGAGGAGGAGACAGGUCCCUAAGACAGAGUCGGGGUCUCUUCUCCAAGGAUGAAUGCUUCACAGCACAAGCCUGCAGCCAGACUCUCCGAUUUCUCAACAUGAGGUCACAGUCUGCCACAACCUGUGCUGCUUUGGGAUUGACCUGGCUGGAGUGACAUGGGAUGAAGAAAUGACAGGCACACCUACAGGUGCUAGACGGUCCAUUCGCAGUGACGGAGACACUCCGGCAGCCCAGAAACUUAGCACACAGCUGAAGGAUGCAGUGGGCUGACUCAUCUCCUUAGGGUAACUCUGUAGGGGAGCAGUUUCAAGCUGCCGUCAUCCAGGAGGAGGAUGCUGUGGUUGGUACUGUCUGCAUGCACUGUCAAUGUAUUUAUUCCAAACAUAGGAAGGCCUUGCUAUUUCCCUGAGGCUGACCUAUGAAGGUUUUGCCAGUCCCAUAGGUCCGAAGCAGUGGUGUCCUUGACGGGUCAUGAUCAUGUCAUGAAUUCUCAUUCUGCAGGGGGACACUCACUCUCCUCAACAUUCCCUCAUGGAGGGAAGUCAGGACAGGAAUCUAAGUCAGGGGGCUAAAGGCAGGACUGUUUGCUAUUCCAUGUAGUAUUAUCCCGUCCAGGGAACUCACAGCCAAACAUGGAAAACACUUACUUGUUGGCUUGAAGGCUCAUCCUCAGAUAAUUUUCUUACAUAGCCCAUGACCACCUGCUCAUAAUGGGCUGUGCAACUCUGAACCAACUAAGAGUCAAGACAGCUCUCCAUAGAUGCGCUCACAGGCUGAUCUGAACUGGGUAAUUCCGCAAAUGAGACUUCCUUCUCAGGUCCGGGCUGGGUCAAGAGACUGGGGAUUGAACCCAUGUCACCAUGCAUGCUAGUACGAGACUGCCAACUGACACUACAUCCCUAACACGGGAGCUGGAUCACAAUCUAUCCCCUUGUAACCCAUGAGCUUGUGAUAUACUUAUAACCUGGUGCCAAGCACUGGAGUUUGAAACAUUUGCAUUUGACCCCAACCCAGCAGAGUGUCUCAUGCCUGUGAUCAAGGAGAAGUGGCAGAGAGUGAGACCUUGCUUACUGCCCAGUAUAUGAGGCUAUGGACACCCCCCCCCCAGGCUAUGAAGGUAGCCUUCCCAGUGUUAAUGGUCUUCAACCGCAGAUUCUUAAAGAUGCAAGCCUUAGGGACUAGGAGGUUGGACAAGUCAGUAAAGUGUUUGCCAUUAUGGAUGAGAGCCUGAGUCUGAAUCCCCAGCGCUAAGAUAAAAAGCCAGACAUGGUUAGUAUGUGUUGGUUAUCCGAGCACUGGGGAGGUGGAGAUGGGUGGAUCCCUGGGUGUGCUGGCCAGCUAGUGUAUUUGAACUGAUAGUCUCCAUGUUCAGUGAAACAAUUAUCUCAAUAAACAACAACAACAAAAGGUAGAGAGUAAUUGAGGAAGACACCAGUGUUGACCUCUGGUCUCCACAGACAUUCUUACGUGGAUACCGGCACGCACCCACCUGCCAACACCCCACGUAAGACACCCUCAUUAGAACCUAAGAGGAGGCUGGAGGUGUGGAAAUAAGAUCAAGUGGGAAAUUCCUUUUUAUCCCCAAAGUCUGCAUCUCUGUGAAGCUGGGAUGUGAAAAUAUUUGACUGGCUGAAUUUUAGUUGUGUGUGAAUAUCGACGCUUUCCAACGGCCAACUUCUAUAAUAAAUAAAUGUGAUAUCAAAGGUUCUCAGAGGCUAUAUUGGAAGUCCCGAGGAUCAACCUGGCUGUGUUUCCCAACUUCAGCCUUGGGUGUGGGAAAGGUGAUCAAAGGGAGGCAGAAAAAAGCAGGAGUAAUUCACUUUGUUGAUAUCCGUGUAUAUUUAGUAGUGUGGUUGCCUGGGGAUUUUUAAACAUUAGCUCCCUUUAAAUCAAGUUGGGCACCCUAUAAAUCAAAAUGAUAAAUGAUUGAUAAAUAAACUGUCAUUGCCACAA